rnacentral:rRNA from 1 species
GUUUUAAACCUAAUGGCUCUUUCAUGAUUAUAUGAUAGGUGGUGCAUGGCCGUUCUUAGUUCGUGGAGUGAUCUGUCUGCUUAAUUGCGUUUCAAAAUUUAACUUGAGGACCGGGUUUUGGUUUGGCUAGUGGUUCUACGAUGACUGUGAACUGUCAUGUCUUCGGAUGUACGACUAUCGGUCUAGGAUCACAUGACUUGCCCCUGGGACUCUUUUGAACGCCGGACGUGAUUGCAACCCCUUGUUGAAUUAGAGAUAGUCUCGAUAUUCACUGGCCAA